GACGAACGNNNGCGGCGUGCUUAACACAUGCAAGUCGAACGGUGAAGGGGCCUGCUUUUGUGGGUCCNGGAUGAGUGGCGAACGGGUGAGUAACACGUGAGUAACCUGCCCCCUUCUUCNGGAUAACCGCAUGAAAGUGUGGCUAAUACGGGAUAUUCUGUGCCUGCUGCAUGGUGGGUGUGGGAAAGAUUGCGCCCUUUUUGGGUGUUUUUGGUGGGGGAUGGGCUCGCGGCCUAUCAGCUUGUUGGUGGGGUGAUGGCCUACCAAGGCGGUGACGGGUAGCCGGCCUGAGAGGGUGGACGGUCACACUGGGACUGAGACACGGCCCAGACUCCUACGGGAGGCAGCAGUGGGGAAUAUUGCACAAUGGGCGCAAGCCUGAUGCAGCGACGCCGCGUGAGGGAUGGAGGCCUUCGGGUUGUGAACCUCUUUCGCCAGUGAAGCAGGCCUGCUCCUUGGUGGGNGGGUGACGGNAGC
rnacentral:rRNA from 1 species